GAUGAACGCUGGCGGCGUGCCUAAUACAUGCAAGUCGAGCGAACAGACGAGGAGCUUGCUCCUCUGACGUUAGCGGCGGACGGGUGAGUAACACGUGGAUAACCUACCUAUAAGACUGGGAUAACUUCGGGAAACCGGAGCUAAUACCGGAUAAUAUAUUGAACCGCAUGGUUCAAUAGUGAAAGACGGUUUUGCUGUCACUUAUAGAUGGAUCCGCGCCGCAUUAGCUAGUUGGCAAGGUAACGGCUUACCAAGGCGACGAUGCGUAGCCGACCUGAGAGGGUGAUCGGCCACACUGGAACUGAGACACGGUCCAGACUCCUACGGGAGGCAGCAGUAGGGAAUCUUCCGCAAUGGGCGAAAGCCUGACGGAGCAACGCCGCGUGAGUGAUGAAGGUCUUCGGAUCGUAAAACUCUGUUAUUAGGGAAGAACAAAUGUGUAAGUAACUAUGCACGUCUUGACGGUACCUAGUCAGAAAGCCACGGCUAACUACGUG
rnacentral:rRNA from 1 species